CCUACGGGAGGCAGCAGUGGGGAAUAUUGCACAAUGGGGGAAACCCUGAUGCAGCGACGCCGCGUGAGCGAUGAAGUCCUUCGGGUUGUAAAGCUCUAUCAGCAGGGAAGAUAAUGACGGUACUUGACUAAGAAGCCCCGGCUAACUACGUGCCAGCAGCCGCGGUAAUACGUAGGGGGCAAGCAUUGUCCGGAUUUACUGGGCGUAAAGGGCGGGUAGCGGGGUAGGUAAGUCAGAUGUGAAAACCACGGGCUCAACCCGGGGACUGCAUUUGAAACUGGGGGCCUUGAGUGUCGGAGAGGUGAGUGGAAUUCCUGGUGUAGCGGUGAAAUGCGUAGAGAUAAGGAGGAACACCAGUGGCGAAGGCGGAUCUCUGGACGAUAACUGACGCUGAGGCGCGAAAGCGUGGGGAGCAAACAGGAUUAGAUACCCUGGUAGUC
rnacentral:rRNA from 1 species